UUUUUUUUUUUUUUUUUUGUAUUACACAUUAACGUCGUACGCGAGUAGUAUUCUUAAGGUUCUAAUUUUUCACGUAAAAAUUUGUUCCCAAGAAAACACGAAGAUUCGUAUUGUACGUUGAAAUGAAGAAUAUUUGACGGUACAUUUCAUUUUUCUUUUCUUUGUUUCUUCUUCUUCUUCUUCUUCCUUCUUUUAUUAAACGAUAUUUUUCACGAUCGUUUCUAACGAUCCUCAUAUUCCCGCGAAAAUUCGUUCGAUACGAAAAUCAAAGUUUCGAACUAACCUUAUUGUAUGUUGAAACGAAGAUAAUUUAACACGAAACUUCAUUUUUUUUCUUCUUCUUUUUUUUUUCUUCUUUUUUCUUUUUCAAAUGCGUCGAUCGAUCAAAGCUAGCGAAGAAAAAUUUUCUUUUUCUUUUCUCUCUCUCUCCCUCUCUCUCUCUCUUCUACACAUUUUAUCUUAAUAAAUACUUAUUCACACAUAUAUCCAAGAAUUGCAUAAAUAUAUUUUCCAAUAAUAUUUGCGUCAGAUUUUACGCGUUCUUACGGAAUACGCGAAGAAAGUAUCUAAGGUCAAGAUACAAUACUACGUUAAUAGAUUUUAAUACUUGAUAAAAUUUCGUAAAAAAUAUUAUCGCGAGAUAUAUGUUUUUAUGCGAGUUAUAAUAUCUCAUUUCUUUUCGACAAUGUUUCUUUUUGAUUGGUUAAAUCAUCUUUAUUUGGAUUUAAUUGUUUUCAAAUAAACCCACGAAAUUUUUGGAUUUCUUUUUCCAUAGAACGUAAGGAUAGAAAAUGUGUUAAAGAAAUCAUCGAGAUUUCAAUCGUUCACACGAGAAAGGUUCGUUCGGAAAAUUUGAAAAGUUAGAAGUGGAUGCCGGAAUUUUCUCAGAAGGAGUAGAAGAAAAAAGAGAAAGAAGAAAAAAGGAAGACAUGGAAGAAAAAGAAGAAGAGGACGGAACAAAGUCUGAACGUUGAAUCAUAGGAAUAUAUAUUAUCAUCAUGAAGUCAAGGGAAUAUAUUUGAAAGUAGAAUGCAAUUGAAUAUUAUUAGAUGUAUGAAUAAAUUUUACUGAGUAAUAAUUUCCCACUGUCUCGUCAUAGGGAAUUUGUUUGACUCACGACUAUAGUUCACCUUGGACUGAAGGAAUGAUUUGUCGGAAACCGAUGGAGCUGAUAAAGCCGACAGGUAUACGAGAAUUCUAUAAAAAAAAAAAAAAAGAAGAAGAGAAAAAUCUACAGUUAGGAAGAAUUCAAAAAAUUCUUGGAAAAAGAAAAAAUAAGGAGAACAGAGAGCCAUCACAAAAGAAAAUCAUAUUUUCCGUCUUUUCGUGAGAAGAAAAAGAAAAGGGAAGAAAAAAUAAGGAUGGCCUUGUGAAAAAGAAAAAAAAGUGCUUGGAAAACGGAGAAGACGAUUCUUUGGAGAUUAGACGACAGCAACGACUGGGACGACGAUGAUGAAGACGCCGACAAGUAAUAAUCUGAAGUUGUUUCUCCAAGAAACAGCUUCCCUCUCCCUCUACCCUUUCCUCUCGUCCCUUGUCCCCCUUCCCCUACCCUUAAACGUACCCCCAAAAAAGAGGGAAGAAAAAGAAGAAGAAGAAGAUGAAAAACAACAAGAAGAGGAAGCUUUCUAUGAUGUUCCUUUUUUCGGCUCGUUUCCCUAUAUCAUAAGAAUAAUGAGCAAGUUCCAGGAGAGAAAAAGAGAGAGAGAGAGAGAGAGAGAGAGAGAGAGAGAAUGUGUGAUAAAAAGAUAACAGCAUAUACUUGGUAAAAACUUAUUGCUUUCUUGGAAUGUUAAAAAGCUGAAAAAAGAUGGAAAAUGUGUACAUAUGCGAUACGUGCAAGUUAAAUAGGUCGUUUCUUUCUCCCUCUCUCUUUCUUUCUUUCUCUCUCUUUCUCUCUCUUUCUCUCUCACACUUACUCUGCACUCUUACAACAAUGAUUAACAUAGGAUAAACAAAGACGGAGAGAUAGAGACUGCUCUUACGUGAGAAAGGAAAAAUUAUGCUGGCGAUAAAUGAAGAGACAAAAGGAACAGAUAUAUUUUCAUCAAAAUUGAAAAUAUUAAUUAUUUGUCAAUCUUAUUUAAUUGUUAAACUAUGACAAAAAUAAUCAUUCACUCGUGUCUUCCUUUAUUCUUACUGACGACAAAUGAACGGACGAUAAAUUAAAAAGAAAGAAGAAAAAGAAAAAAGAAAAAAGGAAACCAAGAGAGAUAAAAUUUGGAUUAAAAUUGAAAUCAAGUAAUGUAACAUAGUCUCUCGUCAAAAUACGAUCAUGCAAUACAGAUUUAUUCGAAGAAAAGUAUCGAUCAAUUCAAGAGACGUUAAUCUUUAUAUUUCAAUUGUAUCUAAUUAAGAUCGAAAAUAUUGAAGGUAAAGGAAAGAAUGGUAGAAUGAAUAUACAAAAAUGUUAUCGUGCAAAUUGAAAAUCGAUAAUUACGAGAAAAUAUUGAGAAACAACGCACAAAUCGAACGUUAGUGGGUUCCUGUUUUCUAAUGUAUUUUCCACGUAUUUUAACUACGAGAGUAUCGCGCACGACGAGUGUCACGCGAAGCUCUUUUUCUUUCUAAGAAAAACAAAUAACAAAACGAACGAACGAACGAAUGAAGAAAAAGAAAAAAGGGAAGAAAAGGAUAUUAAAAAAAAAAAAAAAAAAAAUAUUAAGAAAAAGAAAGAAAGAAAGAAAGAAAGAAAAAUGAACGACCAAGAAGAGGGUUAUUGUAAAAUUGUAACAGAGUGAUGUUGACGGUGGACAGGAUUGAUAUAACGGUGGUGGGGGUGGUGAUGGAGGUGGUGAUGAUGGGAGGUGGUAGUAAUGGUGGUGACAGCAGCAGGGUCGUUCCGUGUACACAUACGUUAUAAAGUGAAAGCAACAUGCACCGUUCGAGUUCCUCGAAAUCGAUCGGUAAUUUCCGGGGAGAGGUGACUUCACUCAGGGAUUCCAUCGAAGUCACGCUUUCUCGUUUCGUUUAACAUACAUACACGUAUAUAAUGUAUACGUGUGUGUGUGUAUAUACCUGUAUAAUCCUACGUGAUAUAAAUCGACGAAGAAACAACGUUCGAAAUACUUAUAUACAUACAUACAUAUAUAUAUACAUAAAUAUAUCCAUAAAAACCUGAAGGAAAAGGAUGGACUAUACGACUUUAUGGGAUACGUUAUCACCGGAAGUAACGUUAACUAGAACACUAAUAAGAAUAUCUAAAACAUAAGCUUCAGAAAAAGAAUAGAGAUUGGAAUAAUCAGAGGUCAGAUGUCAACGCGGAUGUGUAAUUCCCCCUUCCGUAUUAACACGGUGGAGUUACACGGUAAAAUCUACAAGGGUUGAAGGAAGGAUGGAUAGAAGAAAGGAAAUGAAGAAAACAAAAACAAUAAAAAAAAAAAAAAAAGAAGACAAAAAGGAAGAAGAAAUAAAGUGCGAGUUGAGGGAUGUCAACUAAGAGAAGGGUAAACACAAAAAAAAGAAUGAGAGAGAGAGAGAGAGAGAGAGAAGAAAGGAAAAAAAGAAGCACUUAAAAAAAAAAAGGGUAAGAAACGAAGUACGUCCUAGGACAGAUGGAGGAAAGGCUCCCGCUAUUGUAAUACAUAUAUCAGUGUGUUAUGGACCCAUGGCGACGCGUCAUCUACACUUAUGAACGACGACGACGACGACGACGACGACGACAACGACGACGACAACGACGACGACAACGACGACGUGCCGGUAAGUGGAGAGUUAAAACUUUCCGGCUCAGAGUCACGAAACGGCACGAAGUAGUACGAGAGAAGAGUUGCAAAAGAGAACGAAGCGAAUUCACAUUCACAUCUCUCGCGAAGAAUCCCUGCCCUGAAAGUUCUUACCGUACAAAUCCUUUAUUUCACCUCUAUCUCUACCUCUUCCUCCUCCUCCUCCAUCUCCUCCUCCUCCUCCUUUUCCUGCUAUUCCUCCUACUCCUCCAUUUCUUCUUUCUUCUUCUCUUCAUCAUCCUCCUUCUCAUUAUUUUCAUCUAAUCCCAAAGCUAAUCUCUCGAUAAUUAUUAUAUCAAUGUUCUUUUUAAUAAUUAAAUCUAAUUAUAUUCGUUCAUCUGACGUAUAGGUUUUUGUAGUAUGUCAGUCCGAAGUACAGAUUUUUCAUUUAUUCGAGAACAAUUGUUGCAAUUUUGUUUCGUUUGCGCAUUCCUAAAUCAAUAAAUUAUAUUCUUUUUGUUUCUUCCUUUUUUUUUUUUGUUUUCUUUUAUAGGUUGGUUUAUUUAUUUAUUUAUUUAUUUUUUUGUAUAGGUUAGCAAACAAGGUGUAUCACAGUACAAGGGAUACUCUUCUUUAUGGAAAUUAUUACAUUUCUCAUUCAUUCGACAAUCGUAUAAUUUAAUAUACAUAAGUGUUUAUAUUAUGUUUUAUUCUGAUGUUUGUAUUGUUUCUUUUUUCUUUCUUCUUUUUUUCUUUUUCUUUUUUGUAGGUUAGCAAACAAGAUGGAUAAGAAAGGGACGCCAUUUUUUAAAGGAUUAAUACUUUUUGUAUUAAAAUGUUCAAUUAAUUUCAUUUCAUACU